AUUAAGAUAUAGGGGUGAAUUAGCCAAAUGUGGGACACUGCCUAAUGUGGGACACCUGAGCUCGAGUUGGGUGUAGGUCUUCCUACAACAAAUGAAAGUCAAUAAAACUAAGGGUUAACACAAGUUGUGAUGUCAUGUGAUCAAAAUAACAUGACUUCUCAAAUGUCCAGUCAUAGAUUAUAAUGAUACAAGCUUCAAACAGGAAGUACACAGCAUGAAGACCACCCAAAGGUCAGGGACAUACUGUUUAGACAAACUUAAUGUUAAGGAUAUACAUUUCUUAUAAAUAAAACAAUCCUACUUUUU